AUGGCAAAGUCAAAUAACACUGGAUAUGUCCUAGGCCGUCAAAUGUCACACAGUUCUUCCUACUACCAUGAUACUCUUGCAAUUACAUACAAAGGGCAGUAUGUGACAUUUGAGAAAAUCUUGUCUACCUUAACUAUAGUUGACUUCUCAAAUAAUGCACUGGAUGGUGACAUUCCUUAAUCUAUUGGAAGGCUAGUUUCACUGCAUAUCCUGAGCAUGUCACACAAUGCAUUUAAAGGGAGGAUUCCAUUACAAAUUGGCGAGAUGAGUCAGUUGGAAUCACUAGACCUGUCCUGGAAUGAGCUUUCUGGGGAGAUUCCACAAGAGUUAACAAAUUUAACAUUUCUUGGUACUCUAAACUUGAGCGAAAACAAGUUGGAUGGAAGGAUACCAUCACGUCAGUUUUUCACAUUUGAUAACACUUCAUAUGAAGGGAAUGCAAGGCUCUGUGGACCGCCUUUGUCCAAACCAUGUGUCAAUUCAAGUAAACCAAAUGAGGCACCAUCUGGGGAUCAUGUUGAUAUUAUCUUGUUUCUCUUUGUUGGGGUGGGUUUCGGCGUUGGAUUCACUGCCGGUAUUUUGAUGAAAUGGAGGAAAAUCGGCAAAUGGUUUCGGGUUUUGUGA
rnacentral:rRNA from 1 species